UACAGAGGGUGCAAGCGUUAAUCGGAAUUACUGGGCGUAAAGCGCGCGUAGGUGGUUCGUUAAGUUGGAUGUGAAAUCCCAGGGCUCAACCCUGGAACGGCCUUUGAUACUGGACGUCUGGAGAUCGGGAGAGGUUGGUGGAAUUCCGAGUGUAGAGGUGAAAUUCGUAGAUAUUCGGAGGAACACCAGAAGCGAAGGCGGCCAACUGGCCCGAUACUGACGCUGAGGCGCGAAAGCGUGGGGAGCAAACAGG
rnacentral:rRNA from 1 species